CACCGAACACCCCUAAUGAACCUUCCUGGACCUACGUCUCCAUCCGAAGUCUAUUUCCAGGGAAGCUCAUCUGCAGCAUUAAGGAAAUGAAGCCUGGCUGAUGGAGAGAGGAUGUAGCCGAACGGCUUCUUCUCCUCUAGGAAAAUCAGUGACUCUGAUCGCCAUCAAAAUAAGAAGAUUGAGAAUAUGAGGCAAACGACAAUGGUCCCUCCUCUGGGGGUUCGCUUUCUGCGGUUUUGGGUACCUGCAGCCAAGCCCAGUCGGGAAGCAGGUGAUCGAUCCUCCUCCUGACAAAUUGGCGGAUGAGCCAUAGCGCCUAACGCCACGUCUCAGCGCCUUCCGUCGUCCACCUGCCUCCGUCUCAUUGUCUCAUCGCGUAGGCAUUUAAUCAUCUCACAUCACUGCAAGAAGGGCCGGCCCCAUGAGAACACGGGAACAUCUGGUUGAUGUCUGCACCUGGAAAGGGCUGAAGCAACCGACUGGCAAAAAUCCUGCACGCAUGACUCUCAGCAUGGACAUAGAUGAGCAAACUAAAGCUCAGAGAGGUCAAGCAACUUUCCCAGGACCCCUCAGCGAGUUAGUGCAAGAACUGAACAUAAAUCCACGUCUACCCACGUAACUCCAGCGCCUUCCCCCUAAAUCAACCUUUUUUCCUGGAUUGCUUGUUUUUUUGUUUUUUUUUUUCUUUUCUUUUUGUUCACUGUGGAGACCUGAAGAAGAAGCCUGUGGUCCUCGGUCCUGAAAAGGGUCUACCAGAAUUCAGAGGAUCUUGUGUCUCUUGCAUUCAAAGCCAUGGCUCCUGGCAGCUGGGACCUGGGCCUCACCACGUGCACCACGCGUCGCUGGCUUCCAGGUGCCAGGGGCUUGGGCCGAGGCCACACAGUUGUCUGCAUGGGGCCCGGCCCCACCGCUGGCUGUCUGGAGUGAGCACCCGGGAUGGACCCUCUCCGUCUGCCAGGCUGUUUUCCUCAUCCAUCUGCCUUGUUGGCUUUUAAUGCAAGCAGGAAACAAAACUGAAAAAAGAGGAAAUCGAUGCUUCACAGAAAAGGGACAACAUCUUCCUUUAGCCAGUGGGGGGGUCUGAGGAGGGGCGCGGUGACUAAGGUUUGCGGGGCGCUGUUACCCGCUGGUGAGGGGCUACAGAAGCCAGCUGCGGAUCAGGCUGUGCCACCGGUGCCUGCGAGUGGCUGAUGCGGGGGCCUCUUGGCGGCUGGGGAAGGCGGCACGAGCUGUCAGCUUCGAGCAGGAAGCCAACCCAGCCCGCGGCACCCGGAGGGCGAACAGUUGAAUGAAACACACACUUGGUGAGGAUGUUCGGCUUACAGAUGUCACUAAGCUGAAGCCGUGAUCGCUAGGAGCCAAUAAAUCGCGGCUUGUGGCAUUGGACCCCACCGACCUGACGCUCUCUUUCCUCACCUGCGGCCGAGAAGGGAUACGGGAUAAGCCGCUUCUUGGCCGCAAGUCCUGGGAAUACUAUUUUGUGUUUGGAAACUGCCAGAGAAUCACUGAUGAGCCAGUCCAUUGCGCCGACUACGUUGGUCGUGGUGGGCUCCCUUUGGUGACUGAGGCGGAAGCCAGGGAGAGCACAAGUUCUGGUGGAAUGAACUUCACCCUCGCUUGGGAAUCAACAUGGGAAAUACAAUAGGGUGCAUUUGAGAAACAGUAUCCCCGAUGUCUACGCAAGGCCAGGCUGGCCGAGAGAAGCUACUUGCAGACGGCCACGGCCAGCACUCAGAAAUGGAGAACAUUGUUUUGGAGUCAAAGAGACGGGCCCCAGAGGCAGGCAGGAAGAGUAGCCGACUUAGCAACAUUGCCAGCUUCCACAAACCAGCUGAUGACCCAUGUGAGCCCAGAAUGGAAAAGACUGUCACAUGUUGGGUGCCUGGCCUGGACCUCACAUCAGGUGGUAUCGAUCCCAGAUUCGUCUCCCGAGGCCCUUCCCAUGCGCUUACCUACCUGGAGCCUCUCGCUGGGACAGGCACAAAGAACAGGACCUAAGAAUUCCAUUUCUAAGAAUAAUUUUGUGUAAGGAAAACCUCCCAGUGAAAAUGGUCUGAUGAAAUGUGCUUAGUUUGGCUUUGGCCGAGCUCCUCGUCGUCCUAAACGAGUGCACAGAAACACGCACAAACAAUAUUUGCUACUGCCUAAAAAGUGUAACCCCGCAUUUACGGCAAAAGCAAUGGAGGGGAUUGAGAAGUGGAGACUGGCCCCUAAGAAGAGCUCCGCUUACAUAAAAGAGGAGGGCCGAAGGAGGUGUGGACUGCUGCCACCAAGCGGUGAGCCACGUAAGCCUGAUGGCUGCCAAGAGCCCUCACUUAUCCGGAACCCAGCCUGGUCCCUGGGGAAGGUGGACAGGAAGAGGAGGAAAGUGAAGAAGACGCCAGUGCCGCCAAAGUCACCGUUAGGAAAAGCCGCGUCCUAAAGCCAAAUGUGCUUUUUAUUCGGAGAACGCCGCAUCGGGACCUCAUUCGUGCUGUUUUAAGGCCCGAUUCUAACAAGCUUCGUUUUCAAACCCUAUAGCACGUUAGAAUCAAGGAAUUAGCACGCGAAGAAAGCCAGUGAACACACUACAUAUUUAUUUUAGUCUUAACAAACACCAACAGCAACCAACGCGACACUGGUUACGGACUCAAUUUUAAGGAUGAUGAAACAGGUUCAGAGAAGGUCAGCCAGUAAGUGAUCAAGUCUGUCUUCACAUUCAGGGUUCUGGCCUCAGAGCUCAUGUCUCUUCCUUUUCUCCCCCUCGCCUUUCCAAAGACAGGCACGCCGAGAAGCAAGCCUUCAUGGCAGCACAAUGACAGGACAAGGGCGGGAGACAGCAUGGAAUCAGCAUUGAAAAUUUGCCGCACCCUGGGAUGAUCCGGUAUAGAGGAAAAUGGCCUCCUCGGUUCCCAAAUGCGUCUAUUUUAGAGGAUAGUCGUCAUUGAUUUGCAUCAAUAUGUCCAAAUGCGUCAACUUUCUCGGUGUAAAGAGUAGGGAGAAAGAA